rnacentral:rRNA from 1 species
AUACGUAGGUGGCGAGCGUUAUCCGGAUUUACUGGGUGUAAAGGGCGCGUAGGCGGAUCAGCAAGUCAGAUGUGAAAUCCAUGGGCUUAACUCAUGAACUGCAUUUGAAACUGUUGGUCUUGAGUGCUGGAGAGGUAGACGGAAUUCCUAGUGUAGCGGUGAAAUGCGUAGAUAUUAGGAGGAACACCAGUGGCGAAGGCGGCCUGCUGGACGACAACUGACGCUGAGGCGCGAAAGCGUGGGGAGCAAACAGGAUUAGAUACCCUGGUAGUCCACGCUGUAAACGAUGAAUACUAGGUGUGGGGGGACUGACCCCUUCCGUGCCGCAGUUAACACAAUAAGUAUUCCACCUGGGGAGUACGAUCGCAAGAUUGAAACUCAAAGGAAUUGACGGGG